CCUACGGGAGGCAGCAGUGAGGAAUAUUGGUCAAUGGGCGCGAGCCUGAACCAGCCAAGUAGCGUGAAGGAUGACUGCCCUACGGGUUGUAACCUUCUUUUAUAAAGGAAUAAAGUGAGGCACGUGUGCCUUUUUGUAUGUACUUUAUGAAUAAGCAUCGGCUAACGCCGUGCCAGCAGCCGCAGUAAUAAGGAGGAUUCGAGCGUUAUCCGGAUUUAUUGGGUUUAAAGGGAGCGUAGAUGGGUUGUUACGUCAGUUGUGAAAGUUUGCGGCUCAACCGUAAAAUUGCCAUUGAUACUGGCAGUCUUGAGUACAGGUGAGGUAGGCGGAAUUCGUGGUGUAGCGGUGAAAUGCUUAGAUAUCACGAAGAACUCCGAUUGCGAAGGCAGCUUACUAAACUGCCACUGACAUUGAUGCACGAAAGUGUGGGUAGCAAACAGGAUUAGAUACCCCAGUAGUC
rnacentral:rRNA from 1 species